rnacentral:lncRNA from 1 species
AUGGGCAAUCAAACAUUAAAGUCCAUCGAUAUGAAACCUUGAUCGAAGAGUCCCAAACCAGUGGGACUCUUGACCCCGGUAUCCAACAUAUGUGAAACUCGUGAUCAGAGAAUCCUGAUUCUCAAUCAUAGAAUCUCCAAGCAUUAGGACUCUUGGUCAAAGAGUCUCAGUCCAGUGGGACUCUUCACCAGUCAUCAGAUCAGAUAGGAAC